GACGAACGCUGGCGGCGUGCUUAACACAUGCAAGUCGAACGGAAAGGCCCUGCUUGCAGGGUACUCGAGUGGCGAACGGGUGAGUAACACGUGGUUAUUUUGCCUUCCACUCCGGGUUAACCCUGGGAACCUGGUUUUAUUCCCGGUUAGGGCCCUUUUUUGUUUGGUGGUUGGGAAGUUUUUUUGGUGUUGGAAGAGCUUGCGGCCCUUUCGCUUUUUUGGGGGGUUAUGGCCUACCAAGGCGGCGAAGGGUUGCCGGCCUGAGAGGGUGGACGGGCACAUUGGGACUGAGAUACGGCCCAGACUCCUACGGGAGGCAGCAGUGGGGAAUAUUGCACAAUGGGCGCAAGCCUGAUGCAGCGACGCCGCGUGGGGGAUGACGGCCUUCGGGUUGUAAACUCCUUUCGCUAGGGACGAAGCUUUUUGUGACGGUACCUAGAUAAGAAGCACCGGCUAACUACGUG
rnacentral:rRNA from 1 species